rnacentral:rRNA from 1 species
UACGUAGGGUGCGAGCGUUAAUCGGAAUUACUGGGCGUAAAGCGUGCGCAGGCGGGUUUGCAAGCCGGAUGUGAAAUCCCCGGGCUCAACCUGGGAAUGGCAUUCGGGACUGCAAGGCUGGAGUGCGGCAGAGGAGACUGGAAUUCCUGGUGUAGCAGUGAAAUGCGUAGAUAUCAGGAGGAAUACCGAUGGCGAAGGCAGGUCUCUGGGCUGACACUGACGCUCAUGCACGAAAGCGUGGGGAGCAAACAGG